rnacentral:antisense_RNA from 1 species
GUGACUGUAAACUUCCAAUUGCUUUGUUGCUCCACCAAUACCUGUUCGCCAAAAUAAUCACCGUCAGCCAGCACAUCCAAAAAAGGCUGCUCGUCAUACUUGCCAAUACCAACCUUGUUAACCUUGCCAUGCGCGAUCGCCACAAACUCAUUAGCUAGUUGACCUGCCUGCACUAUAAUCUCACCAGGUGCGAACUCGCGCUGAACAAAUCGACCUGCCAGUGCAGUCAAUACACCAACAUCGUUAAACUCUCGCAGCAAUGGUAACUCAGUCAGUUUUUCGGGAAUUACCUGCACCUCAGCUCCGGUAUUAGUGAAACUAAUCCGCCCAUCGCCCACAGUAUAAGUCAACCGCCGAUUCAACCGAUAAGUGCCAGCUUUGGUUUGUACCCACGGCAACAUCUUCAACAACCAUCGCGGCGUAAUUUCCUGCGUCUGGGGUGUAGAUUUAGUUGUUUUGGACAAAUUGCGCGCUGCAUCUUUACUCAAACUCAGUUGAGGUUGUC